ensembl:lncRNA
CCAGAAUCCAGUUCUCAGGCUAGAAGCCAAGUUCUGGAAGCGGCAUGAAAUUUCUGCAUGCAUGAAGGAUUGAGGACUCUUUGUGUCUCUCAUAGCAGGAGGUUACCUUGAGCUGGCUAGAAGAGGAAAACAAGAGCCAAGGUCUGGAAAAGGAGGAGGAGGAGCUUGAAAUGAGAAACAGCCCUGCUUCAGCUCUCUGGCCAACAAAGCAUGGUGAAAACAGCAGAGAAGUGAUUCUUACAGGACAACCCUCACACACCCUCCCCCCCACCUUUUUUGGAACUCUGUGGCCCCUACACUGAAUCUCUAACAUUAGAGAUGGGUUUUCAGGUACUUAUCAGGUCACUGGGCAAUCAUAAAUCCCCACCAAAGCUUGGGACUUCCCUGAAGGUCCAGUGGUUAAGACUCUGCUCUUCUACUGCAGCGGGCAUGGGUUCGAUCCCUGUUUAGGGAACUGAGAUUAGGCAUGCCACCAGAAAUUUUAAAAAAAGAAAUCACCAAAGCUCAGAUACAUAAUCUCUGCCACAAGUUAUCAUCUGAGGAGGCGGCUGUGGUAUGGUGAAAAAAAACACCCUGGACGUGGGAGUCAGUCUGGCUUCUCAAGUCU